UACGAAGGGUGCAAGCGUUACUCGGAAUUACUGGGCGUAAAGCGUGCGUAGGUGGUUUGUUAAGUCUGAUGUGAAAGCCCUGGGCUCAACCUGGGAAUUGCAUUGGAUACUGGCAGGCUAGAGUGCGGUAGAGGGUAGUGGAAUUCCCGGUGUAGCAGUGAAAUGCGUAGAGAUCGGGAGGAACACCAGUGGCGAAGGCGACUAUCUGGGCUGCAACUGACGCUGAGGCGCGAAGGCUAGGGUAGCAAACAGG
rnacentral:rRNA from 1 species